CCCUUAGAUGUUCUGGGCUGCACGCGCGCUACACUGAUGCGCUCAACGAGUUUAUGACCUUGCCCGGAAGGGUUGGGUAAUCUUCUUAAAACGCAUCGUGAUGGGGAUAGAUUAUUGCAAUUAUUAAUCUUCAACGAGGAAUUCCUAGUAAGCGCGAGUCAUCAGCUCGUGCUGAUUACGUCCCUGCCCUUUGUACACACCGCCCGUCGCUCCUACCGAUUGAGGGAUCCGGUGAAUAAUUCGGACUGCAGCAGUGUUCGGUCACGAACGUUGCAGCGGAAAGUUUAGUGAACCUUAUCACUUAGAGGAAGGAGAAGUCGUAACA
rnacentral:rRNA from 1 species